rnacentral:tRNA from 1 species
AAAUGCCGAAAUGGGACGAACAUCCGGCUGUCCCCAAACAUCAAGUUUCCGGAUCGAAAUCGUAUUUGCCUAACGCGCUCCAGAAUGGGCAACGGCAUU